rnacentral:rRNA from 1 species
UACGAAGGGGGCUAGCGUUGUUCGGAAUCACUGGGCGUAAAGCGCACGCAGGCGGAUUGAUAAGUCAGGGGUGAAAUCCCGGAGCUCAACUUCGGAAUUGCCUUUGAUACUGUCUGUCUUGAGUCCGGGAGAGGUGAGUGGAAUUCCUAGUGUAGAGGUGAAAUUCGUAGAUAUUAGGAAGAACACCAGUGGCGAAGGCGGCUCACUGGACCCGG